UAAGUUCAAUGUUUAAGCUCAUGUAAAUUGAACUGGGGGCUAGUUUUAAAAGCUCUUUUAAGAAUAUGGGAAAGAGGCGCAGGGAACGGAAAGCCAGAAGGGGCAAGACGAGUUUAGUUCGCCAUGGGGCUGUUUGGAAAAACCCAGGAGAAGCCUCCCAAAGAGCUGGUCAAUGAAUGGUCAUUGAAGAUAAAAAAGGAAAUGAGAGUUGUUGACAGGCAAAUAAGAGAUAUCCAAAGAGAAGAAGAAAAAGUGAAACGAUCUGUGAAAGAUGCUGCCAAGAAGGGCCAGAAGGAUGUCUGUGUAGUUCUGGCCAAGGAGAUGAUCAGGUCAAGGAAGGCGGUGAGCAAGCUCUAUGCAUCCAAAGCACACAUGAACUCAGUCCUUAUGGGUAUGAAGAAUCAGCCUGCGGUCCUGCGAGUGGCUGGUUCCCUGCAGAAGAGCACAGAAGUGAUGAAGGCCAUGCAAAGUCUUGUGAAGAUCCCAGAAAUUCAGGCCACCAUGCGGGAGCUAUCCAAAGAGAUGAUGAAGGCUGGGAUCAUAGAGGAGAUGGUAGAGGACACUUUUGAAAGCAUGGAUGAUCAGGAAGAAAUGGAGGAAGCAGCAGAAAUGGAAACUGACAAAAUUCUGUUUGAAAUUACAGCAGGGGCGUUGGGCAAGGCACCCAGUAAAGUGACUGACGCCCUUCCAGAAACUGAACCUGAAGGAGCGAUGGCUGCCUCAGAGGAUGAGGAGGAAGAAGAGGCUCUGGAGGCCAUGCAGUCCUGGCUGGCCACACUCCGCAGCUAGGGCUUGCCCAGCUGGGCCUUCAGGCUGUCCUUGUGGCUCACUUGCUAGGUGUGCACACACUCCUCUGAAGAACCACCAUCUUAUGUAUCUCUUGCACUGCACCUCUGUGGUGAGCCAUUGCAUUUUUGAGAAGGUUCUCUGCUAAUAUCUCUUCACUCUGCAGAGGUUUUGGGAUCUCAAAGGAAUUCUUCUUAGGAAGGUGGUGUAAUUAAAUGCAUCAUUUUCAGGAGCAUAAAGACAAGUAUCUUAUUGGGGGGAGGGCACAGAAAUUCAUCUUCUCAUGAAGCACUUCAAUGUUGAGGACUUUGCAUUUUGUCUGUACAACACUACAUAAAUGGAUUUUAAUAAAUUUCUGCUUUAA